AACGCUAGCUACAGGCUUAACACAUGCAAGUCGAGGGGCAGCACAGUGUAGUAAUACAUGGGUGGCGACCGGCGCACGGGUGCGUAACGCGUAUCCAACCUUCCCGUUACUCAGGGAUAGCCUUCCGAAAGGGAGAUUAAUACCUGAUGGUGUUUGAAUUCCGCAUGUUAUUCAAACUAAAGAUUUAUCGGUAACGGAUGGGGAUGCGUGACAUUAGGUAGAUGGCGGGGUAACGGCCCACCAUGCCCACGAUGUCUAGGGGUUCUGAGAGGAAGGUCCCCCACACUGGAACUGAGACACGGUCCAGACUCCUACGGGAGGCAGCAGUGAGGAAUAUUGGUCAAUGGCCGGAAGGCUGAACCAGCCAAGUAGCGUGAAGGAUGAAGGUUCUAUGGAUUGUAAACUUCUUUUAUACGGGAAUAAAACCACCUACGUGUAGGUGCUUGUAUGUACCGUAUGAAUAAGCAUCGGCUAACUCCGUGCCAGCAGCCGCGGUAAUACGGAGGAUGCGAGCGUUAUCCGGAUUUAUUGGGUUUAAAGGGAGCGUAGACGGGAGAUUAAGUCAGUUGUGAAAGGCUGCGGCUCAACCGCAGCACUGCAGUUGAUACUGGUUUCCUUGAGUUCGGUUGAGGUGUAUGGAAUUCGUGGUGUAGCGGUGAAAUGCUUAGAUAUCACGAAGAACUCCGAUUG
rnacentral:rRNA from 1 species